rnacentral:rRNA from 1 species
CAGUCGCCACGGGAAUACGGAGGGUGCAAGCGUUAUCCGGAUUUAUUGGGUUUAAAGGGUCCGUAGGCGGACUUAUAAGUCAGUGGUGAAAGCCUGUCGCUUAACGAUAGAACUGCCAUUGAUACUGUAAGUCUUGAGUAUAUUUGAGGUAGCUGGAAUAAGUAGUAUAGCGGUGAAAUGCAUAGAUAUUACUUAGAACACCAAUUGCGAAGGCAGGUUACCAAGAUAUAACUGACGCUGAGGGACGAAAGCGUGGGUAGCGAACAGGAUUAGAUACCCCCGUAGUCCCUGUCUCUUAUAC